GAUGAACGCUGGCGGCGUGCUUAACACAUGCAAGUCGAACGAAGCAAUCAGACGGAAGUUUUCGGAUGGAAGACUGAUUGACUGAGUGGCGGACGGGUGGGUAAUGUCUGGGAAACUGCCUGAUGGAGGGGGAUAACUACUGGAAACGGUAGCUAAUACCGCGUGAUGUCGCAAGACCAAAGAGGGGGACCUUCGGGCCUCUCGCCAUCAGAUGUGUCCAGAUGGGAUUAGCUAGUAGGUGGGGUAAAGGCUCACCUAGGCGACGAUCCCUAGCUGGGCUGAGAGGAUGACCAGCCACAAUGGGACUGAGACACGGCCCAGACUCCUACGGGAGGCAGCAGUGGGGAAUAUUGCACAAUGGGCGCAAGCCUGAUGCAGCCAUGCCGCGUGUGUGAAGAAGGCCUUAGGGUUGUAAAGCACUUUCAGCGGGGAGGAAGGGUAUAGGCUUAAUACGUUUAUACAUUGACGUUACCCGCAGAAGAAGCACCGGCUAACUCCGUGCCAGCCGCCGCCGUAACAC
rnacentral:rRNA from 1 species